GGGACCCUCAUCCUCCUUUUCCGACAAGUGGGGGUCCUGAGCGCUGCCCAGAAGGGGUCCAGGGAAUGUUGUGGGCUGGGGCACACCCGCCGGGGCAGAAAUUGGAGGACACGACAGACGUCGCCAGAAUUCAGAGCUCUAUCCUUCUUUUCAGCUGCCGGGUGUUCUCCACCCCUGCGUUAGCACUCUGUGGCCCGGGCUGUCCCGAAGCAACCAGGGCCCUCUCCGAUGCUCUGUAGAUCGCCGCUUCGUCCUUACUUUUGGGAUGGUCACAUGCGUCCCGCUUCCCACGGCCGUUUUAGAUCAGGCAUCUGCGCCCUCCCGGGCUCCUCGCCCCCACCCCCAGAGUCAAAUGUGAGCCUCUUCUGGAAAUCCUUUGCGAAGGGGACAAACUUUUGAGUGGACGAAAAUCUAUUGGAGCCUGUCCGGAGCAGUGCUCUCUAUCCCACAGCCAAGAUGAGUUGCUGCACAAGUGUAGGCCAAAGCCUGAGGACCACAGCGCUCUGUCUUGACCCUGCUGCCAAAGGGGAUCAGCAGACCGGGCCACCCUGCUCUGGACUCUGGGUGCUUCACCUCCGUGACCCUGCUUCUUAGUUUAAUCAUCUGUCAGAUGAGCCCUUUGCACUGCAAGAUUGCUUAGCAGGUUUGGCCUCCUGAACAGGUACGGGGAGAAGGAAGAAGAUGGGGCCUGUUCCACCAGGUAGGAGAGAGGGGUCUUUGCUUUCUUCAUUGGGGACAAGGUCUCACUUUAAAGCCUAGGCUGGCCUGGUACUUCCUGUGGAGUUCAUGAUGUCCUUGAACUCAUAGCAGUCCUCCUGCCUCACCCUUUUGAGUGCUGAAAUUUACAGGCAUAAGCCACACCAUAUACUGCUUAAAGAAAAAAUUUCUAUCCUUAGCAAAACCUUUGCUACCCUCCCUUCCAUCAGUUACCCCAAAAGACUACAAGGUAAAUGGACAGGUGAGAUUCAUUUGAGAGGAGUUUGGUAUGAGGUUUGUAUACUCUGGAGGGAUCAAAGAAUGAAUUCUGUGUGAGAAAGAGGAUAUCGACAGUCUCUGGGCCAAGUAGGUCUUGAGUGCAUAAGGUGAUUCACAGGACCCAUACAAGGGAUGAGUUGUCAAAAUGGCUUUAGACUCUGCCUGGAGAAGAAUCAACUCCGUAUAUUUGAGUGUUUGCCGCCUGUUGGGCCUGUACUACAUCCCCUGUGCUUUGUCCACCAUAGUGCUCCUGUGGAAACUGCCCAACUAGAUUCAAGCUUUUGUUUUGUUUUGGUGUUGAGACUCAAACUCAGUUAUCUCUUGCGUGCUAGGCAGGUGCUGCCCCACUGUCCCCUUCUCCGUGUUGUGACUCGGGUUUCAGUGUGUGUGUGUGUGUGUGUGUGUGUGUGUGUGUGUGUGUGUGUGAUACGUAUACAUUUGUACAUUUGUACAUUUGCGUGUGUGAGUGAGUACUUGUGAGGUCCUGGAGUUCAAUCCUCAGCACUACAAAAAUAAAAGUACAUCUCCUUUGUUUCCCCCAAAGUGGGGUGAGAUCAGUCAUCAGGUCAAGAGCAGUGUAUUGGGGUUGGGGAUUUGGCUCAGUGGUAGAGCGCUUCCUGCGCAAGGUCCUGUGUUCGGUCCCCAGCCCCGAAAAAAAAAAAGAGCAGUGUAACCCCUGGACAUCAGCUGAGGAACCCCCAGUCCACAGCUAGAGAGGCAUCAGUGAAAUCUUCACAGCACCCUCUUCAAGGAGACCUCUGUCCAGCACUUCCUAGAAUGGUUCCCCCUCUUCUUGUUCUGCCCUCCAAUCCUCCCCCUCCUCUUCUCCCCUUCUCUCCACACCCCUCCCCCUUUGUUUCUAGUGUUCUUUCCCCCUUUGUCUAUGCCAAGCCAGGACUCUUGCUUUUUGUAUCUCAGCAGGCUCUGCUCUGAGACCCUGAGGCUGGCUGGCAUACACUAUGCCUCUGGAGUUCAUAAUGCGGAUGCAAACGCAGGGAUUCCAAGAAGAGGCCCUAAGUGGAAAGCCGAGCUCUGCUAACCAGGGGCAGGCUACUUACUGGUUUGCUUUCUGUACCAGUCGUGACUUUGACCUUAACUCACUGUAGACAACCCUGCAUUUCCGUUUCCACUCCAUCCCUGUGUCUGGAACAGAGGUGUUGGUAUCCCCAAGGCUACUGCUCUCUGGGGGCAAGGGUCAGUGGCACAAACUAGAACCUUAAACUUUCUAAAAAGGAAAGCACAUGUCCCUAUUUGUGCAUUGGGGCAGGGGUGGGAUCUUGUUUCUCUUGAGUGAAGAGGCUAGUGAAUUCUGGCCCCUGAACAUUAGAACAAGAAUGGCUUUCACUAUCUAUCCCCCUCUCAAGAAAGGUGGACCAAUCCAGGUGACUGUGGAAAGGAUGUGGACUAUACACCCGUACUAACUUCCUUACUCCCUGUGACCCUGCAAAAAAGAAGAGAACCCCACGCACUUCGAAGGAGCCAGGACCCCAACAGACUUAAAGACCAUGAGUGAAGCUGGGUGGCAAAAACUCCAUUCCUCCUUUGAGCUCCUUGCUGUUCUCAGUUUUGUACGGUUUGUCCUCACCCCUUCCCCAAAUCUGGAGAAGGGAAAAUGAAUGUUUAACCCCCCGCUCUGCUCAUCUUUCCCUGUGCCCCUUCCUGUCAACCUCAAAGCCGCCGGGAGGAAGGACCUGCAGCUUUCAGCUCUGCUGAUAAUCAAAGAAAAUUCAAAUUCUCUUUCUCAGCAGAAGGGCGGCUGCCUCCUUCUCCAUUCUCCCUGCACACAUUGAUCUGUUGUGAGGGCACCUGGGGGUCAGAAGAGAGACCAGGCCGUUUUAAUUGGUCUAGAAUUAGCAUUUCCUAUCACACCAAAGGCCAGGGUUUCCACAUCCAGGAACAAGAGGUCUUCACCUCUUCUCAGACCCCUCAAACCAGCCAUGAUUUCCACAUUUGUUGAGGCGGAGCCCUGGGAAGGAAAAUGAAUGAGCAUUUUGACCCAUUUUGCAACCAGUAGCUGCAGCUCUCUGCUCUGUUAAUGCUUUCUCUAGUACUCAUCGCGGGCAAAGCAUGGCCUUUACUUCAGAGUGCCAUGAGAACUGGAAGAUUUUUUUGCCACCCUGAGACCUCGGUGUGUUGUGGAUACAUAAGCAAAUAAACAGAUGGGGAAAAAAAUAAAGACGAA
rnacentral:sRNA from 1 species